rnacentral:lncRNA from 10 species
UAUUAACACCUUUGUUAUCAAAAGCACUAAAGGCAGGAAAUGGAAGAGGAAUUAAGAGAAAUUAAAGGAUGUGUAAGGAAAAACUCAGUUGUAUGUAAGAAAACCCAAUUCCCCCUGAGGUCAAGAAAGAGGUGGAAUCCUUUAAAAAUUAACUGCCUGUUUUUCUGUCUGUGGCUAGUGAGCCUUAUCUCUCCCUUUCCCAGGCAUUGUGAAGACCCUGUUUCUCUAGCCGUGCAGCUGCAAGGUCACUAGACAGAAAAACUCAAGUCAUAAACAUGUUUUUUCUUGAAAGGAAACUUUGCUGAAUGAGCCCAGGUGCUGAAGCAGGAAGGCUGGACCCUCUCCCUUGGCAUCGCAGUUCCUUCCAGACUCCCCCUCUUCUUAGGCUCUUUUCAAGCACAUACCCGGCAACAUGUGCCCUGCCCAAGAGCGCUUCACAGAUCUUCCUGCAGGUCUAAAACCAGAACGCUUUGUUCCCUGGCCCUGGAACUCAUGUCACCCCAAACGGCGGAGCCGGCUUCGGACUCGAGUCUCAGUUUAAUACUUGUUCCCUAAGGUCUGCCCAGGGCUCUUAUGAUGGGACUUCGUUCCACUCCAUCCCACCCUGUGCCUCCCCCAAUGCGCUGGGGGCCUCAACUGCAGGGACUUGGAACUGGGAGACCUCCCCAACAGGCUGGCCUGGCCAUGGACUGGUGGACCUCAGUCCCAGGGCGAGACACCCAGGGCAAGUACCCUCAGCCCAGCUUUUGUACACUCCAGCCAUUUAACCUGGUGUGGUGGCCUCACUGGGUCCCUAGCUCUGUGGGGUGGGAUUUCUCCCUUGUGUCAUAGUGGAGGAAACUGAGGCAUAGGGCCAUUGAAUGACAAACUCAGGGAGAUUCUCUGACUGAAAUGCCCUCUAGGUCCCGCAGGUCCCUCCAGGACACAGCAUCCCUUGGGCUGCUGCAUCAGUGGGCUGUUGUCUUGGGCACCCCAAGCUCAACACCAUGUGGGGAUGACGCUGGGGAAUGUGGGGACAGGGAUAUUUGUCCCCCACAUCAGCACAGCAGGAGUUUCAUUCUCUGGUGUGCGUGGACACCACCGCAUGUGUGGGUGCUGGUGGGGCCCCCAUUUUACUGAUUAAGAAAGAGCCCUUCCUGGGGCCUCUGGGGAAUUGAGCACCAUAUGUGCCUGGUAGCUGUUAGGGUGUGGAGGGGCUCAGCUGGCCUCUGUCCUGUUGUCACCUUUUCAGGGUCAGUUAGACCCUGAACUCUUAUUACCAGUCAUGCCUGGAUGCACACCACCCUUCACUUGGCAUCUCCCAGCCUGAUUCCCCCCAGCUCAGCCCCUGAGUUUUCUCAGGCCUCUGUUGGCCCUGAAUGGGAUCCCAGGAGAUGGCAACUCUGCUGCCUGCCUCUGCCUGAAGUCCAGGGUACUUUUGCAGGGUGGGUGAGCAGGUCAGGAUUCAGCUUUUGGCUGAGUAUGGGACCCUUCCCCACUCCCCACCCCACACUGCUGGAACCACUGUGCACGGCUGGCCUGGGGGCUGCACUGGGUCCCCCAACUUCCUGCUGUACUGGAUUGCAGAGAAUACUUGUGCAUAUGGCUUGACCUAUUGUCAAUGUCCCGUCCAAAUCAGAACUAACGAGCUGUUUCCCUGGGGCCAGGGCCCAGGCCUGAGGCUGCCAUGACCAGCCCAUUCUCUGCCUUCUUUGGGGCCGUCAAUGGCCAGUGCUUGGUGGUCCCCAAAAGACAUGAUGGCCAGGACUUAAGAGCUGGAGGUUAGGCCAGGACACUGCCUGACCACUGGGGUCCACAGGGGCUGUCCCUGAGCUGUGAGUGCCUAUGGGAUGCAGGCACAUGUAGAUGCUUUAGAUGAGCAUGGGCCCUUCUGGCUGGCAGGAUCUUGGUGGGCACUGGGCAUGUGAGGCCAGGUUAGGUGAGAUGAGCAGAAUUGGGCCUGGCUGGGGAGCAUGAUUGGUGUGGCCAGAGUGGGCAUCUGGGCCCUCAUAUCUAAGCUGCACAUUGGCAGAAUGACAAGUGGUGGGUCAAUCAUCCCAGCUGAGUCUGGGGACAUAGGCCUACCCAGUGGGACCCCCGCCCUUGUCCCGGCCACAAGCCCAGAACGUCUGCCUGCACUGGGUAUUCUAGCCUGGGCAGGGAAGCCUGGGUGUGAUGAUCAGGUGUCGUGUCUCUGGGUUUCAGGCCUUGGUGGCCCCUAGGGAGAUGGACAGGCCCCGGGCAGGGGGAGGGGCCUGGGCACCACCUACGUGCAUUCGCCCCUGGAUGGGUGCCCCCACCCCAGCUUCUCAGCCCUCAGGGCAACAUAACCAGGGCUUCCCACCUGCUCUGUGGCUCUAGCUCUGACCCCCUUGCACCAUUGCAAUGGUGGACCAUUGCACCAUUGGUACUCUGGGAUUACUGGCUUCUUAUUUUUAAAAUAUUUUUCCAAGGAACUAUAGUCAUAACACUAAUUCACUUCUAAAUUGUGACUGAAUAGUCCUGCUUGGGCUAUUUAUUACCUUCUAUUCUUCUGCACAGUCUAAGGGUACAAAAAAUAGGUAGUUUUAUAUCAUUUUUAAAUUGAGAAGGUAGAUGUGGGAGGUAGGGUUCUCCUAGAAAAAGUUUAAGUGUCUCCUUAUCAAUACUUCUAAAGUUCAUCUCAAUCAUUCUUUCACUCUUAUUCAUAUGUUCAUAUUUAUUUUCUUCAAAACUCUUAGGUCUAUCCAUAAUCACAAUGCGUCUGUUUACUGUUAUCUUCUCUCUGCUCACUGGAAGAUUUGAUCCUUCAUUUCCAUGGGCUUUUAAUUUUUUCAUCAUUGUUUCUCUAGUUAAUAGUACCUUCAGUAGUCUCAAAAACGUAUUGAAUAAACAAAUGAUAAGUGAAUAUUUAAUGUGUUCAAUAGAAAAAUUGCAUCACAAAGGAGCACUGUCGCUGCAAAUAGCCUCAGUGCUAGGUUAAAAAAAAUAAUGUCAGGGAUCGCAGCUUCUAAAGGUUUCUUUCAAACUAAUACAUUGAUUUAUGAUUAAUUGAUCAACUAACUGGAAACUACUUAAUUUAUAUUCAAAUAUAGUUAGUUCAAUUGUACACUAUCUACUCUAAAUAUUAUGAUGCUUUUAAAGUAUUAAGAUAAAGCCUUAUGCAGCUAAAUAGAAACAUGUACAUACUAUAGUGUUAAAUGAAAUAACUGUAUAGUAAAAAAUGUUGCCUAAUCUUAUAAAAUUAUAGAAAUGAGAAAGAAAAAUUAAAUCAAAAUGGUUCUUUUCGCUAAAGUGAUGAUGCUAGGAUGACUUCCUGUUUUUAUUUUUUAACCUGCUAUUUUUGCAAUAAUGCUUAUUUGUAUUUUCGAAAUAUGGGCAUUAAAAUCUCUUGGGAUCUGUCUUAGGCUGAUUCAGCAUUUGAAUUGACCAUAUAUACAUGUCACU